rnacentral:rRNA from 1 species
UUUUCGGUAAUUAUAGCGGAAAGGAAACACCCGUUACCAUCCCGAACACGGCAGUUAAGUUUUCCAGCGCCGAUGGUACUGCAUAGGCAGCUAUGUGGGAGAGUAGGACAUUGCCGAAAAU